rnacentral:rRNA from 1 species
UUCUGCUGCAUUGCUUGUGUCCCUCUGGGGUCUGUGCAUGUGGCUUUUUUCGGACGGAGUUUCUUUGUCUGAAUGUUUACUUUGAGAAAAUUAGAGUGCUCAAAGCAGGCUUUCGCCUUGAAUAGUUUAGCAUGGAAUAAUAAAGUAGGACUUUGGUUCUAUUUUGGUGGUA